UACGUAGGGGGCUAGCGUUGUCCGGAAUCAUUGGGCGUAAAGCGCGUGUAGGCGGUUCGGUAAGUCCGCUGUGAAAGUCGGGGGCUCAACCCUCGAAUGCCGGUGGAUACUGUCGGGCUAGAGUGCGGAAGAGGCGAGUGGAAUUCCUGGUGUAGCGGUGAAAUGCGCAGAUAUCAGGAGGAACACCAAGUGCGGAGGCAGCUCGCUGGGACGUUACUGACGCUGAGACGCGAAAGCGUGGGGAGCAAACAGG
rnacentral:rRNA from 1 species